UUACGGUGUACUGAUAACUGUCCCUCGCUGACCGUCUUUACCCCUCACCACCGCUAGUCUAGACCCUUUAGUCAGGCCAAGCUGUAAAAAAGGGCUAUAAAAGUGAGUUUGUGGGAGAGGAGAGAGUGAGAGGAACAACCUUACGUGGUAAAAGACGCCAGCAUGGGAGAGGGUAAGACGGUGGGCAUCUCAGUGUUCACUAAGAUCCUGCUGACGAAGGAUUGACUAUACCUGACAGCAUCUCUCCACUUCCACAUCAGGAUGACGUCGCUAGCAAAGGCGGACCGAGAGGAGGCGACGGGUUACUCAAAAGAAUCCUUCAGCCCCGUUCCUACAUGAGACCAGACACUAAAUUAAAGAGGCUUGGCAGCGGCUGUGGGGUCCAGCGGGCCUCCGUCUGUCUCCCCGGCUCAAGGCUGACAGCCGCCUCCCUCUCCCCACUCUCGGCCUCGGUCUCUGUGUCUGUCUAUAAAAGCCAAGGAUGAGCCACAGAACUCCGGAGGAGCCUCUGUUUCCGCGUGCUGCUCUCGGCCCCGACUCCUCGCCACCGCGGUCUGUUGGUCCCCGGCCAAGUGGUGCGGUGCCCCGCCGCCCACCUCACCCUCCCACAGCGAGUUGACUGUUCACCAACAGGGUUAAAUUUUCCUCAGCUGUGAACUUGAUAUAUGACCUUUAACUUUGAUGCUAAAAAAAGAUCGAGAUAUAAAGAGAUGUGCAGAUAAAAUGAGUUCAGUAACAUCCCGCACUUUAAACAAUGUAACAUAUUUCAAACAGCCGACACAAUACGAAUUUAAUUUUCAUCUCCACAUCGCUACACUCUAUUGAUAAUCUAUUUUCUUUCAGACUCAGGGCGCCUCGAUCAACAAGCACUUUUCUAAUAGCUGCACGAGUUCCGCCUUUUAUUCAAUAAAGGCAUUCAGCUCGUACGCUUUAUCUGACACUGGCCAACGCAGAGGUAACGCGGCGCGAUAAGUUGAGUUGGAGGGCAUGAAUAACGCGACAGUCAGUUUGAAAUAUUCCAUUGACCUUAUUUUAUGCCUACAAGACAGAGGAUGCAAAGAAACCAAUAUCCGAUCAUUUGGUACUGAAAGAGAGGAGUGGCAGCUUCAUCGGAUACAAGGAACGGAGGAGGGAGAACAACCACUGGACGCCGGGGAAGCGGCGGCUGCCAGCAAAGACACAGCGGCACGGAACUUCUUCGCCUAACCACCUGCUUGUUUAUGAGCUACUCACGUAAUCUAUAAAGAAGUGAUCAGAUACUUUUCUCAUAUCUUUUUUUAUGAACAAUUCUUAACACCGACAGCGACAUGCAAACCUUCAAGUGAACAUCAUGAUACCAAACUGGGACUUGAAGAAACGAGUCUGGGGCUUGGACCAGACCAGCAUACAUAACCGGAAGGGAAAAAUGACAAUUAUAUACAGAAAAAGAAUCGAGGGAAGAGAAAAAAAUAGUCCAAAAGCGACAGGGUGGUUCAUAAAUCAGGAGGUGGCUGAGGUGGGCGGCCGUCACACCGGGACCCCGGUAUUAACAACGUGCGUGGUGCUCACCUUCAUAUUGGGCACCCCGCAGACGGUGAAAUAUGAGGCACACAGCGGCUCACUGCCUCCUCCGGGGGGGUGUCCGCCUCCCCUGACCUCUGCGACGUCUUCAUACUCACGCACCUCCUCAACUUCUUCCUCCCACUCCCACGCGGCACCUCACUCACCACCCUGCCUUCCAACACUAUCGCCGUUUCUCUCUCUCUCUCUCUCUCUCUCUCUCUCUCUCUCUCUCUCUCUAAUGCACUUUCACAAGCUUAAUUGUUUCACACUCCUCUUUCGUUCCCUCUCCUUUUUCCCACUCCACCAAACUGGUCAUUCUGGCUCCACACGCUACGCGUGUUCCGAAUGACGUCAGAACUGUUUGUGUACUUAUGUAUGUUACGUAUUGUAAUGAUAAUGAUAACAAUAAUAAUAAUAAUAAUAAUAAUAAUAACAAUAAUAAUAAUAAUAAUAAUAAUAAUAAUAAUAAUAACAUAAUAAUAAUAAGAGUAGUAAUAAUAAUAAUAAUAACAACAAUAAUAACCAAGCAUCAUUUUCCGCCAGGGAAUAUCGACAUGGGCCUCCCUUCAGAGGCCCAUGUUGUGCCGAGGCUCCUCCCGCGGCGGCGAGCGAGGGCGGGCGGCGGAGAGGAGGUAUGGUCGCUCGUCAAAAUGGUCUCCCUCCUCCCCCUUCACUCACUGACGCUAGGUCUCGCCUGCUUGUUCUGCUCGAGUCCUGCUCUAUCAUAAUUGUUUCUGAUGCUUAAAGUGGCACAGGAAUGCGUGAUAAAGUGAUGCCGUCCACACACACCACGGUACAUAAGUGUGAGAAGUUUUCUAGUCUGCAACGGUUCAGUUAUAAUAGUUAUUUGCUUGAUUAAGCCUUAUUGAAGGUCAAGUAGUGUUAAACAUUAUUUACAUGUAUGAUAUGCAUGCAAUUUUCAGAGUAUACUUAUUAUAUCAUUGUAUGCUGUAUUUACAUAAGGGUUAACUUUUCUUAAUCUGAUAAUAUUAUGGAGAUCAUUCACAUACGGAAAACUAAAUCGACGAUGGGUGAAUAGGUUUAACAAUUUAAAAUACAUAUUGAAUAACAGCGGUUAAGGGAAUUAUUUCACAUACGCUUCCCAGCAUAAGAAGGA